rnacentral:lncRNA from 1 species
CAGAGCAACACCGUGUCUCACACAUGAAGAAAAAAAAGGAAAAAAUGAGGAAAAGAAACCUGAAAAGGGUUAAAUAUUUUGCUCAAGAACACACCACUGGGCUGGGCAUAAUGGUUCACACCUGUAAUCCCAGUACUUUGGAAAGCUGAGGUGAGUGGAUCACCUGAGGCCAGGAGUUUGAGACCAGCCUGGCCAACUAACAUGGCGAAAACCUGUGUAUACUAAAAAUACAAAAAAUUACCUGGGUGUGGUGACAGAGGCCUGUAGUCCCAGCUACUUGGAAGGCUGAGGCAGGAGAAUUGCUUGAACUCGGGAGACAGAACCGGAAGUGCAGGGAGCUGGGAUUGCACCACUGCACCCUAGCCUGGGUGAGAGAACAAGACUCCAACAAAAAAAAAACCCACCUGAAACUGAUGGAUUCAGAGAGUGAUCUGAAAAAUUGAUUUGAUGCCCAAACCCAUGAUCUUUUUUUACACUCCACAAACUUUAUUAAGAAAGGUGCUGAUUGUAUUGUUAGAUACAGUCUCAACAUACGCCUCUCCAGUCAGUAUCUAAAAAAUUAUUCCUGCUUCCCCACAGCUUCACAACUCACCUUGGUGCAUCUCUGUCCCACACGGGAUUCAGAAGUCUAAUCAGGAAUGUAAUUAGGAACAUGAUGCAGAUGGGCAAGGCCUGUCCCUUCCUUCUUCAGCUGCUGUGUGGUGCCAGGACCGGUGGUAACAAGAGCCCUCAAGGGGAAGAACAUGAUAAUCCUGGUGUCUGGAGAAUGAGAGGGACUUAAUGGUAGUAAAUGCUCAAAGAAACCUUGUGACUAUGCUGCUCAGGUCACUUCGC